UACGUAGGGUGCAAGCGUUGUCCGGAAUUAUUGGGCGUAAAGAGCUCGUAGGCGGUCUGUCGCGUCUGCUGUGAAAACUCGGGGCUUAACCCCGGGCCUGCAGUGGGUACGGGCAGACUAGAGUGCGGUAGGGGAGACUGGAAUUCCUGGUGUAGCGGUGAAAUGCGCAGAUAUCGGGAGGAACACCCGUAGCGAAGGCGGCACUCUGGGCCGGAACUGACGCUGAGGAGCGAAAGCGUGGGGAGCAAACAGG
rnacentral:rRNA from 1 species